rnacentral:rRNA from 1 species
CCUACGGGUGGCAGCAGUGGGGAAUAUUGCGCAAUGGGGGAAACCCUGACGCAGCAACGCCGCGUGAGUGAAGAAGUAUCUCGGUAUGUAAAGCUCUAUCAGCGGGGAAGAAGGAAGACGUUACCCGACUAAGAAGCCCCGGCUAACUACGUGCCAGCAGCCGCGGUAAUACGUAGGGGGCGAGCGUUAUCCGGAUUUAUUGGGUUUAAAGGGUGCGUAGGCGGAAUGCCAAGUCAGCGGUAAAAUCGCGGGGCUCAACCUCGCUCCGCCGUUGAAACUGGCGUUCUUGAGUGGGCGAGAAGUAUGCGGAAUGCGUGGUGUAGCGGUGAAAUGCUUAGAUAUCACGAAGAACUCCGAUUGCGAAGGCAGCCUACUAAACUGCCACUGACAUUGAUGCUCGAAAGUGUGGGUAUCAAACAGGAUUAGAUACCCCGGUAGUC